GAGAAAGUCAUUAUUAAAAGUACGUGAAACUGCUUAGAGGUUAAACCCGAUGAACCUAAAUAUCCAGUAUUUUAAUGAGGACAUUGUAAUCUGUUAAGUAUAUUAUUUUAUAAUGUAUUAAUAGUGUGCAUUUUUUUCAUAAAAUUGCUUUACAUAUAAAUUAUACAAUUUAUAUAUAUUAUUUUUAUCAAUUAAUUUAUUAAUUAAUUAUUCUUUUAAAAUAUAAUGCUUACAUAAAGAGUCAUGUAUAAGUGAUGUAAGAUCGAUGAAUUUCUAGAUAAAUAGUUGCACGGCUUAGUAUUAAAAUAUAUAAUUUUUUAUGUUUUAUAUAUAAUAUGUACAUGUACGAUAUAUAUGUAACUUAAGAAUCAUAUUAUAACAAUGAUUUUUAAAGGCU
rnacentral:rRNA from 1 species